rnacentral:rRNA from 1 species
AUGUGUUUGUCUAAGAGGGAGGGCGGCAUGGGUUUCAGAAACUAUGAGGCCUUUAAUCAAGCCCUGCUUGGCAAGCAAGCUUGGUGGAUUUUGCAAGCACCGGAAUCACUUUGUGCUUGGGUGUUGCGAGCUAGAUAUUUCAAAGAUUCGUCGAUCAUGAGUGCCACGUGCCCUUCAAACGGGUCAUUCACCUUCCGAAGCAUUCUUUUUGGCCGUGACCUGUUGCGGGAAGGAGCGGUGUGGCGAAUUGGGGACGGAGCUAAGGUUCUCAUACACCAUGAUAAUUGGAUCCCCCGUAGAAGCAGCCUUCGGCCACUAGGCCAAACUUUCGUUCAGGGGACUACUCGUGUUGCCGAUCUGCUGUCUACAGAAGGUAACGCGUGGAACAAGGCCACGGUUGAUGAGAUGUUUUUGUUCAAAUAG